rnacentral:rRNA from 1 species
GACGAACGCUGGCGGCGUGCCUAAUACAUGCAAGUCGAACGAGAGCGACCGGUGCUUGCACUGGUCAAUCUAGUGGCGAACGGGUGAGUAACACGUGGGUAACCUGCCCAUCAGAGGGGGAUAACAUUCGGAAACGGAUGCUAAAACCGCAUAGGUCUUCGAACCGCAUGGUUUGAAGAUGAAAAGAGGCGCAAGCUUCUGCUGAUGGAUGGACCCGCGGUGCAUUAGCAAGUUUGUGAGGUAACGGCUCACCAAGGCCGUGAUGCAUAGCCGCCCUGAGAGGGUGAUCGGCCACAUUGGGACUGAGACACGGCCCACACUCCUACGGGAGGCAGCAGUAGGGAAUCUUCCGCAAUGGACGCAAGUCUGACGGAGCAACGCCGCGUGAGUGAAGAAGGUUUUCGGAUCGUAAAACUCUGUUGUUAGAGAAGAAUAAGUGCUAGAGUAACUGUUAGCGCCUUGACGGUAUCUAACCAGAAAGCCACGGCUAACUACGUG